AUGGAACAUUCUGGAUCAAAACA
rnacentral:snRNA from 1 species